CUCUCACUCUCUAUUCACUCAACAGAAACGGUUCCCCCAUCAAGUAUACAAGCACAAUACUCUACCCCAUUUUUUCCUCUUUUUCAGGCUGAGACGCCAUCCUUCGCACAUCUGCAACCUCCGUUCACCUACAAAGAAACAAGAGAAGCCAGCCAAGGGAAGAGAGGAGAUCAUCAGGGGUACGAAGUUAGCAAUAGCACAGAAAUUCAGCUACUAUAGUGGCCUACUUUCUUCCCCCAUCAGCACCAGCUUCAUCCUUCCUGUCACAGCAACCGUACUAAGGAAGCUCCAAGUGGUAACUGAGUAAACUUAUUGUAGUUUAUUUACAAUGAAUACCUUUGUGCUUUGCCGCAUAUAUAUGAUCAUUGUUGAAUAUNUAAAGCUGCUAGAAUGCCUUUGUACUUUAGUAGUGCUUGUGUAUGUUUUACUACGCAUAUAUGUUUGCCAUUGAANGUCCGGCACGCCGCAUACAUAUCCUGGUUAUCUUUCCCUAUCCAUUCUCGCUACUGCAUACUGUUUGUCACCCAUACUAACAACAAAGAUUUGCCUCAUCACAAACCUGCAAACUAAUGUCUCCCAUACAUGAUCCCAUCAUCAUCUUUGAUCUUGAUUUAUACCACUGAAAUCCCCAAAGCCUUUUUCCUGCAAGAAGAAAGAAAUAAUCCAAGACCCCAUCUAUCACCACCAUAUCCAAACCUUAUCCCUUCGCUUGCAACCUUGUCCCUCACGUUGU
rnacentral:lncRNA from 1 species